UCCAAUUGUCCCGCACUCCGUCCAAGGACUCGGGUCGGAGUUCCGCGCGCUUGGCGAGGGCGGCUCGGGACCUGGCUUGGCGCGUCUGUAUCUGGACAGCCACAGGAACUCGGGAUCCCGGGUCGCAGGGGUGAUGCCUGUGUCUGCACACAAGGAGCGAAGACUGAGCCACGGGCUUGAGUAGCUGACGGCUGUAUGAGUGUUUUGUGGGAGACUCUCUAAGCUUGGUUUCCUGAGCGCCCAGCGUGGGUCUGAGGUCUAAAUGCAAUCUGGCAGGAUCCUAAUAUAUCACUCAGGCUGGCCUUGAAUUGAGGAGCCUCCUUCCUCUGCUUCGUGAAUGCUGGGAUUUCAGGCACCAUCAUACUCGGCUCUCUCCGUUCCUUACCAAGCUCUAUUCACCUGUUCAACAGAUGUUUACUACCUGUCUGCUGUGUGUAGGCACCAUUCUAAUCGGUCGGGAUAAAGUUGUUAACAGAA